CCUACGGGAGGCAGCAGUGAGGAAUAUUGGUCAAUGGACGAGAGUCUGAACCAGCCAAGUAGCGUGAAGGAUGACUGCCCUAUGGGUUGUAAACUUCUUUUAUAUGGGAAUAAAGUGGUCCACGUGUGGGAUUUUGUAUGUACCAUAUGAAUAAGGAUCGGCUAAUUCCGUUCCAGCAGCCGCGGUAAUACGGAGGGUCCGAGCGUUAUCCGGAUUUAUUGGGUUUAAAGGGAGCGUAGGUGGAUUUUUAAGUGAGUUGUGAAAGUUUGCGGCUCAACCGUAAAAGUGCGGUUGAAACUGGCAGUCUUGAGUACAGUAGAGGUGGGCGGAAUUCGUGGUGUAGCGGUGAAAUGCUUAGAUAUCACGAAGAACUCCGAUUGCGAAGGCAGUUCACUGGACUGCAACUGACGCUGAGGCUCGAAAGUGUGGGUAUCAAACAGGAUUAGAUACCCGAGUAGUC
rnacentral:rRNA from 1 species